GGGAAAGCCGAGGCCCGGUGCUGUAUUCUGCCGCCCAUUUUACCCGCGGGGAAGCUGAGGCCCAGUGCUGUUUAAUAUCUUACUCAUGUUCACUUGAUGAGAAAGUGACAGAUCUGAGACAAACCCAGUUCUAGAGGUUAUGACACCAGCCAUGGAAGAGCAGAGAGGCCAAUGAGGUGGGGAGGUUGGAAACAAAAGGCCUUCUCCACCCCAGCUUGACCAACCCAAAAGCUGGAAGGCAAGGAAGACCUAGAUCGACAGAAAAGAAAUGAGUCAACGAUGGUGCAGAAAGGGACCAGCUUGACGAAGCUUCUGCUUUUGUGACUGUCUCCUAAUGUUUGAGAUUCCAAAUACGAUUUCUGUGGAGAAAACAAAAAAGGACUCUGUUUUUAAUUCAAAAGGGAGAAGUGAAAUUCUACCUCACUUUUUUAAAAGAAGAGCCUGGAAUUGGCCUAUCCGUCUUUUUCCCCGUUGGAUCACAGAGCAGAAAGGAAGGUGGGCGUUUGUGUUCUGGGUGUUGUCCACGCUGGACGUGCCAGCAUCUCCCACUGAGCCAGAUGUUCCAGGGCUAAGGCCAGUUUCAUUUGAAGGCACAGCCUUACUAUAUCAUGUGAGAAAACUGUGAUGCGGUCGACUGGCACCUAGCAUUGCCCCCAUCUGGAACAUCUGCAGCCUAGAUCUGUUCUGAUGAAGUAGAAGCCGCAGAUCUUAUCCUGAAACAGGCCAGGUGCAAGUGUCCUCUUAGAAGGGAUCAACCAUGGGAUGCGGCAUUAAGAGAAGAGAGAAGGACAUCCUUACAACUGUGCCUUUCUUUCAACUCAGUCGUGCGCAUUAGGCUUGUAUCAGUUAAAGUGCAGGCAAGAAAUUUCAAGCAGAAAGGGAGUCAGGUGCUCAUAGCAUUGCUGGCAGAAUUGAGAGCAGCGGGAGCCAUGGGAUGGGGGUGCUGCCUGGAAAUCAGGAAACUGGAGAAGCCUGCUGGAACCUGCUGAGGAACCCAUCACUGCAGCAAGAGACUGAUGGUGGACUGCAGGGGCCAGGAAGGUGCAGGAAGCCCCUGCUGCUGCAGGAGAAAGGAUGAAGGAUGGUUAUCUUCCACCUUCCAAAUCUCACAGGAACACCUCUUCUAGGUGGAAUCCAAACCAGAUUCCUUCUGGAAAGGGAUUCUGGAAAGUGUAGUUCUUAUGCUUCCAGCCUCUGAGAUAAGCAAGGACAAUUGCUGGAGGCGAGGGUGUCGCUGAAUACCAAGGAAGGAUAGCAGGUGUAGUUGCCCACAUGGCCACUCAGCAUCCACAUGGACAUCCCACCCAUGUUAAUUUCCAAAGAGCCAUCACAGAAACAUCAUCAUGCUUCCUCACAAAGAAGAAAUGCUCACCUCCACCCCAAUAGAAAGGGUCCAGGUAUCCAUCUCUGAGUGAUGGUCACCCUCCAUAUUCAGUAAAAAACACCCUCGGAUAGACUGUGGUUGAAAGACUAAACCUUUAGGUUAGCCACAGUCAAUAUAUCUUAUAUAAAAUAAGAGAGGCGGGGAGAGCAGGGGAAAGAGAUACUGGGUUAUGUGUGUAAAAACAUACACAAUAAAGCAAACAAGAAACGCUGUGU
rnacentral:lncRNA from 1 species